GGAGCUUCCUUGAAUUUUUGAGAACCGCUGACCGAGGCGGCGACAUUGGUUGUAGCGAUACACAGGAUGAGGAGGAGAAGAGAGAGGAGGUGCUGUGACGGUGGUGGCGGAAGUUUGGGCAUAGUGUUGGUAUGAAGAUAGGGAGAUCUAGAAAUGUGAAAGCAAAGAGGCGUCGGGUCUUAUUUGAGCUUUUAUAGAAAAUGAGACAUCAUAGCUUUGAACCCACGUUGGUUAAAGGAAGCAAGUCC
rnacentral:misc_RNA from 1 species